rnacentral:rRNA from 1 species
AUGGCGGGAUUGGAGCCGCUGGUGGUGGUCUGGAAAGGAUCAGGGGUUCGAAUGGUGGUGCUCCUGAGCUUCGCAGUCCAGGUCAUACUCCUCGCCUUGGCAGAUGUUCGGCGAUACUUUAACUUGCGAGUGCUGAAAGCCAUCAUUUGGUCAGCAUACAUGCUGGCCGAUACGGCGGCGGUAUAUGCCCUGGGCCAUAUGUCUUUGGUGAGUAAGUCGCCCGAGCACCAUCUUAUGGCGCUCUGGGCGCCAUUGCUUCUGGUGCACCUUGGCGGGCAAGACAACAUCACCGCCUACGCAAUUGAGGACAACCAGCUAUGGCUGCGUCACCUUCAAAACUUUGGAGUACAGGUCAUAGCAGCCGCCUACGUGUUGCAUGUGUCAACCGUCCUUGGUAGCCAGACCUGGCUCCGUUCAGCCAGCAUCGUCAUAUUUGUGGUUGGGGUUCUCAAGUACGGGGAAAGGGUAGUUGCACUCCUGUGUGCAUGCAGCUAUGCUAGUAGUAGCCUAUCCGCCACCAGUUACAAGGAUUUUCUCUCUAGGCACAAGAGGCCCGAUGUUAACUCUGCCACGAGCCCCGCGCACGAGAGGGUGGAUGUUUUGGACGCACCACCGAGGCACCGUGUAGAACUGCAAUUGAUAGCUUACACACUGUUGGAUGUUCCCAAGAAAAUGUUUGAGGGGCCGACACGCUAUGUGGAAAUCUAUGGUGCUCAGCGCUUAAGGGGAGAAGAUAUGUUCAGGGUGGUCGUGAUACAACUCUCGAUGAUGUACGACCUCUUGUACACCAAGGCUGCGGUGGUGCAUGGAUGGUACGGUGACAAAGAUGGAGGUUACAGCUACAACAGAGCAGAUGUGGUCGCUACAUAUGUUCUGCUGGGUGGCGCACUCGUCGUCGAGACUACGUCGGUGGGGAGCAAUGAGGAGCUGUUCAUCUGGAGUGUGGAGUUGGAUCUGGAUGAGAGCAUUCUCGUGUGGCACAUCGCCACUCAUCUCUGCCUCACUUGGCUCCAGUUAAGGGACGGACGUAGUAGGCGUCGUAGAGUAGACCUCUCCAAGGUUACAGAUCUUGAUGUAGUAACGGCGCUGUCCAACUACAUGUUCUUUCUGCUCGCCACACGCCCUUAUAUGCUCCCUUACCCUGUUAGCCGCCAGAGGUAUGUGCAGCUGUGCCAUGAUGUCAUCACCCCAUCCGAGGAUCAGCUAGGGUCCAUAGAAGGCCAGGUGCGUGCAUGGAAUGGUACUCCGCCCCUGGCUCUGGGUGUAUCCGAUAUGAAUAAAACACUAGAAAAAGGAUGCGAGCUUGCCCGACAGCUGCUCACCAUGAGGACACCUGAUACGACAACACUUCAUAUGAUCCGCGAUGUGUGGGUGGAGAUGUUGUGCUACGCGGCUUACCGCUGCAACGAGAAUUUCCAUGCCAAGCACCUAAAUGACGGUGGGAUGACCCUGCCGUUCAUCAGCCUCACAGUGACCCUGCCUGAGCAGCUGGUGUUCGUCUUGAGCUUGAACUCCGUCGGCGCGGCAGGGAAGUGCUUGGUGAAGUCUAGGGGCAUUGGUAUGCACUCGAGCUUCGGCGCAAGGAUCACCUUGGAGAAGUGA